rnacentral:tRNA from 1 species
CUCCCGUUAGCGCAGUCUGGCUAGCGCGUCUGGCCUGGGACCAGAAGGUCGCUGGUUCGAAUCCAGCACGGGAGA